AACGCUGGCGGCGUGCCUUAUGCAUGCAAGUCGAACGAGGCUAGGACUGCGGUCCGAAACCUAGUGGCGAACGGGUGAGUAACACGUACGUGACCUGUCCAGAAGUGGGGAAUAACCAGCCGAAAGGUUGGCUAAUACCGCAUAUGGUUACUCCUUGGAAGGGGCAAACCAAAGUCGAAAGGCGCUUUUGGAGGGGCGUGCGGCCGAUUAGCUAGUUGGUGUGGUAACGGCGCACCAAGGCAGUGAUCGGUAGCUGGUCUGAGAGGAUGGUCAGCCACACUGGGACUGAGACACGGCCCAGACUCCUACGGGAGGCAGCAGCAGGGAAUUUUGCGCAAUGGGCGAAAGCCUGACGCAGCAACGCCGCGUGGAGGAUGCAGGCUCUUGGGUCGUAAACUCCUUUUGCCGGGGAAGAUAAUGACGGUACCCGGCGAAUAAGCCACGGCUAACUACGUGCCAGCAGCCGCGGUCAUACGUAGGACCCAAGCGUUAUCCGGAAUUACUGGGCGUAAAGAGUUGCGUAGGUGGCAUAGUAAGCAAGCAGUGAAAGCGUGUGGCUCAACCAUACAGCUAUUGUUUGAACUACUAAGCUUGAGCAUUGGAGAGGUAACUGGAAUUCCUAGUGUAGGAGUGAAAUCCGUAGAUAUUAGGAGGAACACCGAUGGCGUAGGCAGGUUACUGGCCAAUUGCUGACACUAAGGCACGAAAGCGUGGGGAGCGAACGGGAUUAGAUACCCCGGUAGUCCACGCCGUAAACUAUGGAUGCUAGCUGUUAUAGGUAUCGACCCCUGUAGUAGCGAAGCUAACGCGUUAAGCAUCCCGCCUGUGGAGUACGAGCGCAAGCUUAAAACAUAAAGGAAUUGACGGGGACCCGCACAAGCGGUGGAGCGUGUUGUUUAAUUCGAUAGUAAACGCAGAACCUUACCAAGGUUUGACAUCUCGGGAAAGUUUCCGAAAGGAAACUGUGCUUUAUUGAACCCGAUGACAGGUGAUGCAUGGCCGUCGUCAGCUCGUGUCGUGAGAUGUAUGGUUAAGUCCAGUAACGAGCGCAACCCUUGUAGCUAGUUGAAUUUCUCUAGCUAGACUGCCCCGGCAACGGGGAGGAAGGAGGGGAUGAUGUCAGGUCAUUAUUUCCCUUAUACCUUGGGCGACAAACACGCUACAAUGGCCGGUACAAAGGGCAGCCAAGCAGUAAUGCGGAGCAAAUCCCAGCAAAGCCGGUCCCAGUUCGGAUUGAGGGCUGAAACUCGCCCUCAUGAAGCUGGAAUCGCUAGUAACGGUAGGUCAGCUAUACUACCGUGAAUACGUUCCCGGGUCUUGUACACACCGCCCGUCAAGUCAUGAAAGUCGCCAAUACCUGA
rnacentral:rRNA from 1 species